rnacentral:lncRNA from 1 species
GGAACAGAAAAGUGAAAAUUUGUGGUAUUAUGAUGGUACAAUGAUAAACAACAUCUCCUUCGAAGUUUCUUGAGAAGUACAUUUUUCACACUUUGUCUAGUGCGUCAACAUAACAUGGGCACACACACACACACGGUACACGUUCCUCAGAGAUAGUUAUCCACACACACACAUCCCUCAGCUCUGUAAGAUGCAGCUCUACCCAGGUGCAGGUGGAUGUACACAUUCUUGGCAGGUUAUUUUGGGUUUGGCUGGCUCCAGAAUGGUGAAAUGUGCGGCUCCACGCGGUUUUAGAUGUGGCACUUUGUAUUCUGAAUGAAAUUCCUAGAGGGAAAAAAGUACCCAAACCCAAACAAACCGAAAAACCAACAAACCAAACCCAAAAAACCCAGCCCAAAAGCCUCCAAACAAUUAGUGAUUUGUCUUUGGGACAGAGAAAAAUGCUUAUUCCCAAGAAAAGCAUCAUCAUCUUUUGACUUGAGCGCAGGAGAAUCGCACUACCACUACUGUAACCAGCUUAUCGCCAUGUAUGGACAAUGCAGAUGAUGGAUUUUUUUUCCUUUUUGCUUCCUGUUAUCCACGUGUCGUGUCCCUCCGUCCCCCCUCACCUCCCUGCCGUGCUGUGUUUGGGUGUCCACUGAUGGGUCCCACCGUGGCAUUUCGGCACACACAACCAUGUGCAAACCUUUUGGGCAGGUGGGCCAUAAGCCUUUGGGACAUGAGGAACUGAGGGAUUCUCCUGUAGAUCCUGUCCUAGUCAGUUUUGCUGGGUUUUGGUCCUUUUUUGGUUUUCUUUCUUUUUCUUUCUUUCCUUCUUUUCUUUCUUCCUUCCUUUCCUUCCUUUCCUUCCUUUCCUUCCUUCCUUCCUUCCUUCCCUCUCUUCUUCCUUUUUCUUUUUUUUUCUUUUUCUUCUUUCUUUCUCUUUCUUUUCUUCCUUCCUUUCUUUCUUUCUUCCUUUCUUCCUUUCUUCCUUUUUCUUUCUUUCUUCCUUUCUUUCUUUCUUUCUUUUUCUUUCUUUCUUUCUUUCUUUCUUUCUUUCUUUCUUUUUCUCUUUCUUUCUUUCUUUCUUUUUUCUUUUUCUUUUUCUUUUUCUUUUUCUUUUUCUUUUUCUUUCUUUCUUUCUUUCUUUCUUUCUUUCUUUCUUUCUUUCUUUCUUUCUUUUCUUUCUUUCUUUUUCUCUUUCUUUCUUUCUUUCUUUUUCUUUUUCUUUCUUUUUCUUUCCUUCCUUUCUUUCUUUCUUUCUUUCUUUCUUUCUUUUCUUUCUUUCUUUCUUUCUUUCUUUCUUUUCUUUCUUUCUUUCUUUCUUUCUUUCUUUCUUUCU